ACCGGUGUAAUGGAAGCAUAUGGAGUUGACGUAUCUGGUGCGUAUUCAGUUGUCGGUCGCCGUGAUUGCUGGGCGUUGGCAUUCCGCAAGGUUGCCCGUUCGGUAUUGUUGCGGUUGCUUGCAAUGCAUUUGCGUACGGAGUGCGCCGAGUCGUGUGCUGGCGUUCGUCGAAGGCUUUCGAGAGGACAGGGCUUCGGUCGUGAAACCUCGGUGGUUGGAGGCGAGUUGCUGGUGCGCGGUUUCGUGGAGUUGCGGGUUGUACGCGUCUUCGGAUGCUCUGCACUCUUCUCGGUGUAUAGUCAAUGACCCAUUUGACCCGUCUUGAAACACGGACCAAGGAGUUUAUGGUAUACGCGAGUCAUUGGGUUCGUGAAACCUAAAGGCGCAAUGAAAGUGAGACCUUACUGGUUUGAAUGUGAACGGUGGGUGUUUCGACGUCUGCCGUGCAACAUUGCCCCGUUUCGAGGACUUGUCCUGUUGCGGAGGUUGAGCGUAUGCUGUGAGACCCGAAAGAUGGUGAACUAUGCCUGUACAGGAUGAAGCCAGAGGAAACUCUGGUGGAAGUCCGAAGCGGUUCUGACGUGCAAAUCGAUCGUCUGAUAUUGGUAUAGGGGCGCAAGACUAAUCGAACCAUCUAGUAGCUGGUUUCCUCCGAAGUUUCCCUCAGGAUAGCUGGUGCACAUUCAUAACAGAUAUACUCGGUAAAGCGAACGAUUAGAGUUCUUGGGAUGUAUUAUUCUCAAACUAUUCUCAUACUCUAAAUGGUUAUGAUGUUGGUGUUUCUUAAUUGAACACUGACUUUGAUUGUUGUGCUCCAAGUGGGCCAUUUUUGGUAAGCAGAACUGGCGAUGUGGGAUGAACCAAACGCGGAGUUACGGUGCCAAACUAUUCGCUCAUGAGACCCCAUGAAAGGUGUUGGUUGAUACAGACAGCAGGACGGUGGCCAUGGAAGUCGGAAACCGCUAAGGAGUGUGUAACAACUCACCUGCCGAAUCAACUAGCCCUGAAAAUGGAUGG
rnacentral:rRNA from 1 species